UGAGCAAUCUGCCCUUCUCAUCGGAAUAAGCGUUGGAAACGACGUCUAAUGCCGAAUACGACCUCCUUUCGCAUGAUCGGAGGUGGAAAGCUCCGGCGGAGAAGGAUGAGCUCGCGGCCUAUCAGCUAGUUGGUGUGGGUAAUGGCCCACCAAGGCGACGACGGGUAGCCGGCCUGGAGAGGGUGACCGGCCACACGUGGGACUGAGACACGGCCCAGACUCCGUACGGGAGCAG
rnacentral:rRNA from 1 species